AGGCCCUGCAGGUCUUGCAGCCCAUGGGGCUGAGCUUUGACCAGUGUUUGGGAGGGGAAUGAUGGCAGAGAGCAGCUCCAGCACCAUGCCAGAGCAUGACCAUUCAGCAGCACCCUGCUCAGCUUGGCUUGGCUGCUUCUUGAAUUGGAGUUGACUUAGUCCACGUAUCCCUCUCACUUUAUUCCUCCAAGCUCAGGCUGUGCUCUUUGAGGUUGAGCAAAUACAAUAACUCACUUCCAUGCUGUUGGGGUCAGCUUUUCCCUUGGAGUUUAACACCAUUUCUCAUCAUCCUUCUCAAUAACCCACUAACACAACCAGAAACACUUGCCUGAAGUCACUUGCCCUUAUGCCAACCCCGUAGGCGCCAGCCAGGCAUGGUUCAGAUCUGCCUUUCAUCCCUCAGUGCAGCCAAAUGAACUUGCUUUGAUUCUGGUGGCGUUUUUGGUUCUUCCUCCCCUUUUUCCUUUGUUUACCCACCAUAAAUCAGUGCGAGUGUCAGAGCUAUGGAUGGGUACCCCGUGGCACACCUGCAGGCUUAAGCUCCAGAUAAAGCCGUUUCCAAGGCUUCUUGUCCCGUUCCCUUACAGUAAGAGAUAACGAUGUGACUUAAAUCCAGGACUGGGAUGGAAGUUUUCCAUGUUGACCACUUAUACCUGAGGCUGCCUCCACGCCCCGUCUGAGCUCGCAGCCACUCAGAGCCAGGAAUCUGGAAGCAGGAGAUCAUCUCCAGGAUUUUGGCACAGCAGCAGAGUGCGAGUUCCCUCUGCUGGCACGUGGCAGGACGGGGCUGCCGUGCCUCCACAUUCCCAUCUCGCACCCAUCCCUAGGGAGAAGGAGCAGGGGCAGCUCUUGGGAAACCUCGUGGAUGAAUCUUGAAGCCUUUUGGCACAGAGAGCUUCAGGGAUGUCCCCAGCCAAUUGGUCCCUGUAUCCCAGUGGAUAUCCCAGCAGGGAUAAAUCCUGGCACAUCUCAGGAGGGUGGGAAGGAGACCACCAUCGGGUGGGGAGUCCUUGGGGUGCAAAGACCCGGAGCCCUUUCCUCAUGGAGCUUCCUGGGAAGCGUUGGGAUUUCUUGUUUGGCAAACUUGGCUUUUCUUGCACGCUUUCAGGGAUGCAGCCUCUAAGCCUGUGCGUUUUCCUGGUUGACCCCGUGUUCUGCUCAUGCUGGCAAGAGUCCACUGUGGCAUCUGCUGUAGGAGCAUGGUCAGGGGGCUGAGGGUCUAUUUCUAGCCUUGAUAAAGAGCUGCCUGAAAUCGCUUAAAAGACUUUCCUUUCUCAAAUCCCUUCUCUGGAGCUUCUGGAUGUGGCAGGCUCUGCUCUGAAUGCUGCUUUUACCCAUAGAGGAGCGCCUGCUUUCCCAAGUCUUGUUGCUCUCCACCUUCUCCUGCUGUGUUGCUGUGUGACGUGUCCACCUUUACUUCGCCUGCUUCGCUACCAUCUCAUCUCAAUCUCAAGCCGUAGAACAACCUGGUGGUGCAGCCCCUUUCAUGAGAAAUCAACCUGCUUUUGAUUUUGUUUUAUGGUUUUAUUUGGUUGUUUUGGUUUGGUUUUAUUUUCCUCCUGAUUUUGGUUUUCUUCAGGCCUUCACCUAAACAGGGCACAGACAAUGUUAAUUCGUGGAGCUCUUACUCCCUCCUAAACUGAAACUCAGAGAAGGCUGGGCCGGUGUGAAAAAGGUUCAAAUACUGUGUUCCUAAAGCAGUUCCCCAUUUGUUGGUGGAUGGAGGAUGUGGAUUUAUGCUUCAUAGACU